rnacentral:misc_RNA from 1 species
CCGGCCGUUAUUUUGGACCCAAAAUCCCACUGUCCACCCAAAACCCGACCUUCACGCUCUCUCGCUGCAUACCAUUUCUUGAGCUAUGGCGUUGCUAGAGCAAAAGAAUGUGGCCGAUGUGAAUAAUGUGAGUACUGGCACCGAAAUCCCUUCCAACGUCACCAUUUACAUCAACAAUCUCAACGAGAAAAUCAAAAUCGA